rnacentral:misc_RNA from 1 species
GGAAGUAAAAGUCGUAACAAGAUAACCGUAGGUGAACCUGCGGUUGGAUCAUUACCAAUCCCUGUUGCUUAGGCAACUUAAACCCCUGUGCAUCAAUGUCGUUUCUGGCAGAACCAGCUAACUGUGCUCGCACGGUCAAGCUAGGCUGCCAACCUUUAAACCCCCUUAUGUUUUGUCUGAUCUUAAUUUAAAAUAAUUAAAAAACAACUUUUGACAACGGAUCUCUUGGCUCUC